rnacentral:lncRNA from 1 species
UUUCCACUUGUCGCACUGCUUUUGCUUUCAGCAAUAAUUUUUAUUAGAACUGAGAUUAAGUAUAUCUAAAAGUGUAACGCUUUUGCUGCAUGAGAAACUAAAGUGAGACAGUUUAAAUGGCAGAAACUUCGAUUUAGUGGUCGGUUGUGGUUCAAUUAUUUAGAACGGUUGUUAAAAAGAUUUUAAUAUAGUGGUUUCACAGCUAGGAUAGUUCUUUUUCAAACGAUAUUGUUUAGUGAUGAGAGAAAAACUCGACAUAUUUACCAACGUCGCAACUGCAUAAGAAGUGAUAGCUAUUAUAGAAAUUUAUGGAUUAUAACUU